rnacentral:rRNA from 1 species
AGCGAACGCUGGCGGUAGGCCUAACACAUGCAAGUCGAACGAACUCUUCGGAGUUAGUGGCGGACGGGUGAGUGACACGUGGGAACGUGCCUUUAGGUUCGGAAUAACUCAGGGAAACUUGUGCUAAUACCGAAUGUGCCCUUCGGGGGAAAGAUUUAUCGCCUUUAGAGCGGCCCGCGUCUGAUUAGCUAGUUGGUGAGGUAAAGGCUCACCAAGGCGACGAUCAGUAGCUGGUCUGAGAGGAUGAUCAGCCACAUUGGGACUGAGACACGGCCCAAACUCCUACGGGAGGCAGCAGUGGGGAAUCUUGCGCAAUGGGCGAAAGCCUGACGCAGCCAUGCCGCGUGAAUGAUGAAGGUCUUAGGAUUGUAAAAUUCUUUCACCGGGGACGAUAAUGACGGUACCCGGAGAAGAAGCCCCGGCUAACUUCGUGCCAGCAGCCGCAGUAA